CUAUUUUUUUAUUUGCAAGGCAAAUAUCUUUACUUCUGCAGAAGGGUGCACAAACACAUGAUCUGGAAGCACACACACACUGGAUGGGCGGUCCGCUCAGGUUUUUAUUUCUGACACACAUGAUCUGUCCCUCACUCUUGAUUGGAAGAGCUUAGGCUCACACUCUUGUGUGAUUGGCUAAUUUAAAGGAAGGGGUUGACCAUUGCCAUUUCAAAAUGGCAACCCCCAGGAGCGCU